rnacentral:tRNA from 1 species
GCGCUCUUAGCUCAGCUGGAUAGAGUGUCUGGCUACGAACCAGAAGGUCAGGAGUUCGAAUCUCUUAGGGCGCGCCA